GACGAACGCUGGCGGCGUGCUUAACACAUGCAAGUCGAACGGAAAGGUCCUGCUUUUGUUGGGUGCUCGAGUGGCGAACGGGUGUGUAACACGUGAGUAACCUGCCCUUGACUUUGUGAUAACUUCAGGAAACUGGGGCUCAUACCGGAUAGAAGCUCCUGCUGCAUGGUGGGGUUUGGAAAGUUUCGGCGGUUGGGGAUGGACUCGCGGCUUAUCAGCUUGUUGGUGGGGUAGUGGCUUACCAAGGCUUUGACGGGUAGCCGGCCUGAGAGGGUGACCGGCCACAUUGGGACUGAGAUACGGCCCAGACUCCUACGGGAGGCAGCAGUGGGGAAUAUUGCACAAUGGGCGGAAGCCUGAUGCAGCAACGCCGCGUGCGGGAUGACGGCCUUCGGGUUGUAAACCGCUUUCGCCUGUGACGAAGCGUGAGUGACGGUAAUGGGUAAAGAAGCACCGGCUAACUACGUG
rnacentral:rRNA from 1 species